UUCUGGCUCAGGACGAACGCUGGCGGCGUGCCUAACACAUGCAAGUCGAGCGAGGAGAUCCUCGGGAUGAUCCUAGCGGCGGACGGGUGAGUAACACGUGGGCAACCUGCCUCAUAGAGAGGAAUAGCCUUCCGAAAGGGAGAUUGAUACCUCAUAACAUUGCAGUUUCGCAUGGAACAGCAAUUAAAGGAGUAAUCCGCUAUGAGAUGGGCCCGCGGCGCAUUAGCUAGUUGGUGAGGUAAUGGCUCACCAAGGCGACGAUGCGUAGCCGACCUGAGAGGGUGAUCGGCCACAUUGGGACUGAGACACGGCCCAGACUCCUACGGGAGGCAGCAGUGGGGAAUAUUGCACAAUGGGGGAAACCCUGAUGCCAGCAACGCCGCGUGAGUGAUGACGGCCUUCGGGUUGUAAAGCUCUGUCUUCAGGGACGAUAAUGACGGUACCUGAGGAGGAAGCCACGGCUAACUACGUGCCAGCCGCCGC
rnacentral:rRNA from 1 species